rnacentral:lncRNA from 1 species
AGACUGAAAUUCUUCACAUAUAUACACGUGAAAGGGAAAAUCCUCAAGUAUGUGGGGAAAAAAAAAUUACUUUAGCUAGAUUUACGAUCUCUAGCCAUAGAUGAGCAGACAUUCACCUGAUCACCUCUGCGUACUUCCUUCUCUCUCACAUCAAACAUUAUUGUAAUUAAUCUUUAGCUAUAGCAAGUGACACAUUAUGGCCCCAUGUCCUAAAAAUUCAGUAAAAAGAAACUUCUGAUUUUGUAAAAGGAAAAGAACACAUUUGAAGAUACAAUAAUUUGUCACCAGAAAGAUCUCAAAGGUACGGAGACUAAUGACCACAGGAAGCUAAACCUAAGUGCCGUUGCGUGAAUCUCAGCAACACAUGAUAUGAAGUGAAUCUCCCCGAAUUAGCAGAGAAUAAUAUUGAAAUCAUCAGGAAAAUAUUAAAAUUUCAGAGAUUAUUAGAUAACAAUAUGGACACUAACAAUGCGAGAGCAAGGAGGAUUCAACUGAGGCAAUUAAACUUCCUAAUUUUCAAUUGAAGAACCUAUGGAAAACAGUGACAGAGGCUUUCUUUAUCUAAAUAGGGCUAGAGCGAAUUUCACAAUUUUAAUCUCUUGAAUUAAGAUGAUUAUUAGAAUUUUCUGAACAGCUACGAAAGGCCCUGAGGCCCUGUAACCGUCUAUGGCUCAUUUUGCAAGACCAGUUUUGCAUCAAGAAUUCAAAGAAAGUUCCAUUUGUGUUAAUGAUUCCAGACCACACUCUACUGGUAUAGGGGUACUUACCUAUAGAUGGCCAUAUGAAUUUUAACUUAUCUUGAACUUUGAGAAAGAAAGACAAUAGUAAAAAGUAGGAAAAUACUUAUCACAUUCAUAAGGAUCUCAUCUCAAAAUUAUCUAUGACACUUUAUGUCUCCAACAUGAUAUCUU